GCCAAGACUAGAGUCACAUCCUGACAGAGCACUUGUCCUGGUGUGCUAGAAUUCUUGGACAGAAUCUGCUGGUCUUGAUUCACUGGUGAGGGGUGCUCAGUGCCCAUGUUAAGUGUCCAGAUCAGAAACAUGG
rnacentral:snoRNA from 1 species